CAAAGGGAGAGGAGGCUCCCCGGCGGCAUCAGAAGGCGCAUAGCGACCCUUUCCUGGAGGGGGUGCCGGAUGCGGGGUUGUGGCGCCCCCGACGACUCCCGAAAGCAAGGCAACUUCAGGCCGGCUCGUUUGCUCUGUGCUCCGGUCGGCAGGUUUCUCCUCUGGAAGCGGCACUUGGAGCGAGGUACAGCUGUUCCCUCCAGCUUGGCGUUGAUCUGCGACAGGAACCCCACAAUUUGGAAGAUCCCUAACACGGGCAAUGGGCUGGAAGGCCAGGAAGUCGGGUUCUCCCUUUGCAAAACAGCCCCACACCGCAACACACACGGUUUGUAGGAGUGAAGCUGGCAGCAGAAUAAUGGGAAACCGCAGGAAUCACGAGAGUCAGGUCAUUGCAGCAACUCCUCGGAUUUGGCGAUUAAUGCUUAAUGGCCUGAUUCCAGAUACAUUGGGCACAGCCCUACAAAAAUCGAGACCAACGUACGCUGGUUUGUGCCCAUUAUACAGAAGCGACUUCCCUUGGGGGAAAGAAAUGCUUGAAAUAGUAGUACAAUGUUACCAUAAUUAUGCAGACAUUGCUGAAAAAUAUCUUAUCUUUUUAAAAGGUCGACCUAAAUAAAGCGUGGAACGAAGA